GAUGAACGCUAGCUACAGGCUUAACACAUGCAAGUCGCGGGGCAGCAUGGGGGUUGCUUGCAAUCCCCGAUGGCGACCGGCGCACGGGUGAGUAACGCGUAUUCAACCUGCCCUUCACCACGGGAUAACCCGGCGAAAGUCGGACUAAUACCGUAUGUUGUCCAUUGACGGCAUCCGAUUUGGACGAAAGGCUUGGCGGUGAGGGAUGGGGAUGCGUCCGAUUAGCCAGACGGCGGGGUAACGGCCCACCGUGGCUACGAUCGGUAGGGGUUCUGAGAGGAAGGUCCCCCACACUGGAACUGAGACACGGUCCAGACGCCUACGGGAGGCAGCAGUGAGGAAGAUUGGUCAAUGGGCGUAAGCCUGAACCAGCCAAGUAGCGUGCAGGAUGACGGCCCUAUGGGUUGUAAACUGCUUUUAUGCGGGGAUAAAGUGGCCCACGUGUGGGCUUUUGCAGGUACCGCAUGAAUAAGGACCGGCUAAUUCCGU
rnacentral:rRNA from 1 species